GUCUAUGGCCAUGCUACCCUGAACAAGCCCGAUCCCAUCUGAUCUUGAAAAAUAAGCAGGGUCAGGCCUGGUUAGUACUUGGAUUGGAGACCACCUAGGAAGACCCGGUGCUGUAGGCA
rnacentral:rRNA from 1 species